rnacentral:rRNA from 1 species
UGCGUAGGGUGCAAGCGUUAAUCGGAAUUACUGGGCGUAAAGCGUGCGCAGGCGGUUAUGUAAGACAGAUGUGAAAUGCCCGGGCUUAACCUGGGAACUGCAUUUGUGACUGCAUGGCUAGAGUUUGGCAGAGGGGGGUAGAAUUCCACGUGUAGCAGUGAAAUGCGUAGAGAUGUGGAGGAACACCGAUGGCGAAGGCAGCCUCCUGGGCCAGCACUGACGCUCAUGCACGAAAGCGUGGGGAGCAAACAGG